rnacentral:lncRNA from 12 species
CCCCCCCCCCCCCCCCCCCCCCCCCCCCCCCCCCCCCCCCCCCCCCCCCCCCCCCCCCCCCCCCCCCCCCCCUCCCACCCUGGAAAAAACCUGGAACGACCCCGGGAAACAACGGGACAAAAACAACAACAACAACAACAACAACCGGCACCCGGCAACGGUUACCUGGCAACGGGAACCUCCUGGCAACGGCUGCCUGGCAACCUUUAAUGAGCAACUGUCCGGGGACACUCAGUGAUGGUCAGUGACAGUCAGUCAGUGAUGGUCACUCUCUGGUGGUCACUCACUGAUGGUCAGUGAUGGUCACUCAGUGAUGCUCAGUGAUAGCCAGUGAUGGUCACUCUCUGGUGGUCAUUCAGUGACGGUCACUCAGUGAUGGUCAGUGACAGUCAGUCAGUGAUGGUCACUCUCUGGUGGUCACUCACUGAUGGUCAGUGAUGGUCACUCAGUGAUGCUCAGUGAUAGCCAGUGAUGGUCACUCUCUGGUGGUCAUUCAGUGACGGUCACUCAGUGAUGGUCAGUGACAGUCAGUCAGUGAUGGUCACUCUCUGGUGGUCACUCACUGAUGGUCAGUGAUGGUCACUCAGUGAUGGUCACUCAGUGAUGGUCACUCACUGAUGGUCACUCAGUGAUGGUCACUCAGUGACGGUCAGUGACAGUCAGUGAUGGUCACUCACUGAUGGUCACUGAUGGUCACUCACUGAUGGUCAGUGAUGGUCACUCAGUGAUGCUCAGUGAUAGCCAGUGAUGGUCACUCUCUGGUGGUCAUUCAGUGACGGUCACUCAGUGAUGGUCAGUGACAGUCAGUCAGUGAUGGUCACUCUCUGGUGGCCACUCAGUGAUGGUCACUCAGUGAUGGUCACUCACUGAUGGUCACUCAGUGACGGUCACUCAGUGAUGGUCACUCUCUGGUGGUCACUCUCUGGUGGUCACUCUCUGGUGGUCACUCACUGCGGGCCACCCGGCCUCAUGGUCACCAUGGCAACCCCCAGCAUCUCCUCCCUGACAACGGUUUCCCUGGCAACGGGACCCGCAUCCUGCCCGGCAACCGGGACUUCCCCUG